UUCAAUCUACAUUGGAAUCCGGAA
rnacentral:misc_RNA from 1 species